UACGGGUGGAGCAAGCGUUGUUCGGAUUUACUGGGCGUAAAGGGCGUGUAGGCGGCCACCGCAAGUCGACUGUGAAAUCUCCGGGCUUAACCCGGAAAGGUCAGCCGAUACUGCGGGGCUAGAGUGCAGAAGGGGCAACUGGAAUUCUCGGUGUAGCGGUGAAAUGCGUAGAUAUCGAGAGGAACACCUGCGGCGAAGGCGGGUUGCUGGGCUGACACUGACGCUGAGGCGCGAAAGCUAGGGGAGCGAACGGG
rnacentral:rRNA from 1 species